rnacentral:rRNA from 1 species
GAUGAACGCUGGCGGCGUGCCUAAUACAUGCAAGUCGAGCGAACAGACGAGGAGCUUGCUCCUUCGACGUUAGCGGCGGACGGGUGAGUAACACGUAGGUAACCUACCUAUAAGACUGGGAUAACUUCGGGAAACCGGAGCUAAUACCGGAUAAUAUUUCGAACCGCAUGGUUCGAUAGUGAAAGAUGGCUUUGCUAUCACUUAUAGAUGGACCUGCGCCGUAUUAGCUAGUUGGUAAGGUAACGGCUUACCAAGGCAACGAUACGUAGCCGACCUGAGAGGGGGAUCGGCCACACUGGAACUGAGACACGGUCCAGACUCCUACGGGAGGCAGCAGUAGGGAAUCUUCCGCAAUGGGCGGAAGCCUGACGGAGCAACGCCGCGUGAGUGAUGAAGGUCUUCGGAUCGUAAAACUCUGUUAUUAGGGAAGAACAAACGUGUAAGUAACUGUGCACGUCUUGACGGUACCUAAUCAGAAAGCCACGGCUAACUACGUG